AGAGUUUGAUUCUGGCUCAGGAUGAACGCUAGCGGCAGGCCUAAUACAUGCAAGUCGAGGGGCAGCAGGGGUAGCGAUACUCGCUGGCGACCGGCGCACGGGUGCGUAACACGUAUGCAACUUUCCUUCAACUGGAAGAUAGCCCGAAGAAAUUCGGAUUAAUAUUCCAUAGUUAUAUGAAAUGGCAUCAUUUUAUAUUUAAAGCUCAGGCGGUUGAAGAUGGGCAUGCGUUCGAUUAGCUAGUUGGUGAGGUAAUGGCUCACCAAGGCUACGAUCGAUAGGGGAUCUGAGAGGAUUAACCCCCACACUGGUACUGAGACACGGACCAGACUCCUACGGGAGGCAGCAGUAAGGAAUAUUGGACAAUGGAGGCAACUCUGAUCCAGCCAUGCCGCGUGAAGGAUGAAGGUCCUAUGGAUUGUAAACUUCUUUUGAACGGGAGAAAACCUUCGGUCGUGUACCGAAGCUGAUAGUACCGUUAGAAUAAGGGUCGGCUAACUUCGUGCCAGCAGCCGCGGUAAUACGAAGGACCCGAGCGUUAUCCGGAUUUAUUGGGUUUAAAGGGUGCGUAGGCGGAAUGGUAAGUCAGUGGUGAAAUCUUGUGGCUUAACUGCAAAACUGCCAUUGAUACUGCCAAUCUUGAGUACAUUUGAUGUGGGCGGAAUGUGCCAUGUAGUGGUGAAAUACUUAGAUAUGGCACAGAACACCGAUCGCGAAGGCAGCUCACAAAACUGUUACUGACGCUGAGGCACGAAAGCGUGGGGAUCAAACAGGAUUAGAUACCCUGGUAGUCCACGCCUUAAACUAUGAUUACUCGAUGUGUGCGAUACACAGUACGCGUCUAAGCGAAAGCGUUAAGUAAUCCACCUGGGGAGUACGGUCGCAAGAUUGAAACUCAAAGAAAUUGACGGGGGCCCGCACAAGCGGAGGAGCAUGUGGUUUAAUUCGAUGAUACGCGAGGAACCUUACCUGGGCUUGAAAGUUAGUGAAUGCUGUGGAAACAUGGCAGGCCGCAAGGACACGAAACUAGGUGCUGCAUGGCUGUCGUCAGCUCGUGCCGUGAGGUGUUGGGUUAAGUCCCGCAACGAGCGCAACCCCUAUCUUUAGUUGCCAGCGAGUAAUGUCGGGGACUCUAAAGAAACUGCCGUGCAAACGGUGAGGAAGGUGGGGAUGACGUCAAGUCAGCACGGCCCUUACGUCCAGGGCUACACACGUGCUACAAUGGCGAGUACAAAGGGCAGCUACAUGGUGACAUGAUGCUAAUCUCUAAAACUCGUCUCAGUUCGGAUUGAAGUCUGCAAUUCGACUUCAUGAAGCUGGAUUCGCUAGUAAUCGAAUAUCAGCAAUGAUUCGGUGAAUACGUUCCCGGGCCUCGUACACACCGCCCGUCAAACAAUGGAAGCUGAGGGUACUUAAAGUCGAUAACCGCAAGGAGUCGCCUAGGGUAAAAUCGGUAACUGGUGUUAAGUCGAAACAAGGUA
rnacentral:rRNA from 1 species